rnacentral:rRNA from 1 species
UAAAAAUCGAAUAUUACGAACCACAGUUUAAAAUUCCAAGAUCUUGGCGGUGUCUUAUAAAACCAGGGGAACCUGUCUCAUAACUCGAUAGUCCACGACUACCCAACCUCUUUUUGAAAUCCAGCUUGUGUACUGCCGUUGCAAGCACACCCCUAAAAGAACAAGUGUGCCACCAUGACUAAAUAAUAUCAGAUCUCAUACACAUCAGGUCAAAGUGCAGCCAAUAAAGAGGAGAUGAUGGGUUACAACCAACAAUAAAGAAACGAAUUAAAAAAUAAAAAACUUAUAAAGGCGGACUUGGCUGUAAUUAAUUAAAACACUCAAUAAAUGAAUAGUAUCUAAGACAUGCACACAUCGCCCG